rnacentral:tRNA from 1 species
GAUUCCGUAGCGCAGAGGUUAACGCACCAGUCCGGUGAGGAGGAAGGCGUAGGUUCAAAUCCUAUCAGUAUCU